rnacentral:rRNA from 1 species
GACGAACGCUGGCGGCGUGCUUAACACAUGCAAGUCGAACGGAAAGGCCCUGCUUUUGUGGGGUGCUCGAGUGGCGAACGGGUGAGUAACACGUGAGUAACCUGCCCUUGACUUUGGGAUAACUUCAGGAAACUGGGGCUAAUCCCGGAUAGGAGCUCCUGCUGCAUGGUGGGGGUUGGAAAGUUUCGGCGGUCGGGGAUGGACUCGCGGCUUAUCAGCUUGUUGGUGGGGUAGUGGCUUACCCAGGCUUUGACGGGUAGCCGGCCUGAGAGGGUGACCGGCGACAUUGGGACUGAGAGACGGCCCAGACGCCUACGUGAGGCAGCAGUGGGGAAUAUGGCACAAUGGGCGGAAGCCUGAUGCAGCAACGCCGCGUGCGGGAUGACGGCCUUCGGGUUGUAAACCGCUUUCGCCUGUGACGAAGCGGGAGUGACGGUAAUGGGUAAAGAAGCACCGGCUAACUACGUG